AUACUUACCUGGCAGGGGAGAUCUCAUGAUCACGAAGGUGGUUUUCCCAGGUUGAGGCUUAUCCAUUGCACUCUGGAUAUGCUGACCCCUGCGAUUUCCCCAAAUGUAGGAAACUCGACUGCAUAAUUUGUCGUAGUGGGGGACUGCGUUUGCGCUUUCCUCUG
ensembl:snRNA U1 U1 spliceosomal RNA